GGAUUGGGAUAUUCCGACUCCUUAAGGGCCUGGCGCACAUAAGGUGUGACCUUUUCAUUCCCGUUGUUAUGGAGGUAGGCUCUCUAGGAAUCUGGGAGUAGUAGCUGGGGGGCAAGAGCAAAUAAAGAGCUCGAGCUUCUGUGGUCUCUGGGGAGAUGUUCCCGGGAAGCCUGUCUAGAGGGCGGAGGGCAGCUGUUGAGAUGGCGUGGCUCCCCGGCUCCUGCGCCCGCGUGGCUUUCGCGGCGGGCGCUGCGGCCCGGUAUUGGACAGCCUGGCAGGGCAGCGCGGGGCCGAAUCCGGCUGCCGUGGCUGAGGCUCAUGGAUCACUCUUUUGUGGUAGGGCCACAUCUGCCAGAGCCUGGAGUCUGCGAAGGCCGGGACCCGGUUCCCCGGCCCACAGUGGGGGUGUGCAAACCCGAGAGAACUGGGUUGCAAAUUCGUGAAGAAUCAGCAUCAUGUUUGGCAGCUGAGUAUUGGAGCCAGGAGCCUGCCAUGAGGUUUUGAGAACAGAGUGCUGUUUUAGAGCUGGCAGCAGCAUCUCAGCCCAAGAGAAGGUUAUAUUCCCAGAGGAUGUCAGUCCCAAGGACCAGUAGCUGCCAUCAGUUUGGAUUCUGAAAACUAACUGGCAUCAACACUGGGUGUAGAAACAUGCUUGCCUUAUGUAUCAGAGGACAUGCUCAGCAGAUCCAAGAGAUAUAUUUGGCAACUUUUUCUAGAAAAGGCACAUUGGGUAUCAUUCAUUACAUUCUUGAGUUUUUUUGGGUUUUUUUUUUUUUUUUUGAGACAGUCUUGCUGUAUUGCCCAGGCUGGAGUGUGGUGGCACAAUCACAGCUCAUUGCAUCCUCAAUCACCCAGGCCUAAGCAAUCCUCCCACCUUGUAGCUGGGACUACAGCUCACAGCACACCUGGCUAAAAUUUUUUUUUUGUUGAGACGGAUUCUCUAUGUUGCCCAGGCUGGUCUCAGGCUCCUGGGCUCAGAUGGUCCUCCUGCCUCAGCUUCCAAAGGCACAGGCCAAGUUGUAGCUUUGUCCCUUGCCAUCAUGCCCAACAAGAGGUUCUAUACCUUUUAAUGAAUUGACUUUCAUAAAUUGGUUAUGUUGGUGGGCAAAGUUCUUUAAGCUGGAAAUUGUAAAUUCCUCCUGAAAUGUUUUUUCAUGCAGUUACCAUGAACUAAUACUACAAUAAAGGAUGGUCUUGGGUGUCAAUUCUUGAAAA
rnacentral:lncRNA from 1 species